rnacentral:rRNA from 1 species
CCAAGUCGGACUAAAUGCAGUCGAGCGGAUGACGGGAGCUUGCUCCUUGAUUCAGCGGCGGACGGGUGAGUAAUGCCUAGGAAUCUGCCUGGUAGUGGGGGACAACGUUUCGAAAGGAACGCUAAUACCGCAUACGUCCUACGGGAGAAAGCAGGGGACCUUCGGGCCUUGCGCUAUCAGAUGAGCCUAGGUCGGAUUAGCUAGUUGGUGGGGUAAUGGCUCACCAAGGCGACGAUCCGUAACUGGUCUGAGAGGAUGAUCAGUCACACUGGAACUGAGACACGGUCCAGACUCCUACGGGAGGCAGCAGUGGGGAAUAUUGGACAAUGGGCGAAAGCCUGAUCCAGCCAUGCCGCGUGUGUGAAGAAGGUCUUCGGAUUGUAAAGCACUUUAAGUUGGGAGGAAGGGCAGUAAGUUAAUACCUUGCUGUUUUGACGUUACCGACAGAAUAAGCACCGGCUAACUCUGUGCCAGCAGCCGCGGUAAUACAGAGGGUGCAAGCGUUAAUCGGAAUUACUGGGCGUAAAGCGCGCGUAGGUGGUUCGUUAAGUUGGAUGUGAAAGCCCCGGGCUCAACCUGGGAACUGCAUCCAAAACUGGCGAGCUAGAGUACGGUAGAGGGUGGUGGAAUUUCCUGUGUAGCGGUGAAAUGCGUAGAUAUAGGAAGGAACACCAGUGGCGAAGGCGACCACCUGGACUGAUACUGACACUGAGGUGCGAAAGCGUGGGGAGCAAACAGGAUUAGAUAC